CCCAGUACCCUCAUCAGAGUUAUACAUGUCAUUUACAGCAAGGGCACAAACCAGCUGGGCACCUUCUUGGCUAUGGAACAGUUGCUACAGCAAGCAGGGACCGAGCGCACAGUGGAUGUCUUCAGUGUGGCCCUGAAGCAGUCACAGGCCUGUGGCCUUAAGACCCCAACGCUGGAGCAGUAUAUCUACCUCUACAACUGUCUGAACAGCGCAUUGAGGAAUAGGCUGCCCCGAGCUGGGA
ensembl:processed_transcript